rnacentral:rRNA from 1 species
AUUGAACGCUGGCGGCAUGCCUUACAAAUGCAAGUCGAACGGUAACGGGCCUUCGGGUGCCGACGAGUGGCGAACGGGUGAGUAAUACAUCGGAACGUGCCCGAUCGUGGGGGAUAACGAGGCGAAAGCUUUGCUAAUACCGCAUACGAUCUACGGAUGAAAGCAGGGGACCGCAAGGCCUUGCGCGGACGGAGCGGCCGAUGGCAGAUUAGGUAGUUGGUGGGAUAAAAGCUUACCAAGCCGACGAUCUGUAGCUGGUCUGAGAGGAUGAUCAGCCACACUGGGACUGAGACACGGCCCAGACUCCUACGGGAGGCAGCAGUGGGGAAUUUUGGACAAUGGGCGCAAGCCUGAUCCAGCCAUGCCGCGUGCAGGAUGAAGGCCUUCGGGUUGUAAACUGCUUUUGUACGGAACGAAAAGCCUUCUUUUAAUACAGGAGGGUCAUGACGGUACCGUAAGAAUAAGCACCGGCUAACUACGUG